UGUCUGUACCGCGUCCACACCAUUUGUGCUGUUGGGAGACGUCUUAGACUGCCUUCCUUUGGAUCAGUGUGACACAAUAUUCACUUUUGUCGAAAAAAAUGUUGCUACCUGGAAGUCAAAUACAUUCUAUUCUGCUGGCAAAAAUUAUUUACUGCGUAUGUGCAAUGAUCUACUCAGAAGAUUAUCUAAAUCUCAGAAUACAGUUUUCUGUGGACGAAUUCAACUCUUUUUGGCCAGGCUUUUUCCUCUAUCUGAAAAA